GGUCAAGUGGCAGACGUCAGUUUGUAGUAGAUGGAAUUACACCCAGAAUUAUUUUUUUUUAAGGUCGAGAUAACUUGAAGUACUCUUGAGCAAUGAUAUAAACUAGAGAUCUCACUGGAUGUACAUUAAACCAAGAUAAAGGAGGCUGGGUUCAAAGUUUGGCUUGGAUUACUACAGUGACCUUAGAGAAAGUGUCUUCUCUGUCAACUUGAUUACAUUCCAUGUAAUAUUGACAUUUUCAUUUCGGUACAACAGAACAAAGAAAUAAUUCUAAAAAGAGAAGUCUUGUAGAGCAAAGUCCACAUAAACAUAAAGACACACAAGCCCACUACAUACUUACAAUGGGAAAAUACUCCAAAAGCAUGAAGACAAGAUUCUGACCCAGGUCUGCUGUACACAUAAGAAGAUGUGAGUUCUCCUUGUCUAUGUGGCGAAUAAGAUUGUAACCAAAAACUGUUCCAAUGCUCAUCAUUGACAUUUUGUUUAUGGGCUCACGUAACCCAACCUGUGAUAUAAAAAGAAUCAACAUGAUCAAUUUGGCCUUUAAUGCUAAAUUACAAAUUAUA